rnacentral:rRNA from 1 species
UCCCAGACUCCUACGGGAGGCAGCAGUGGGGAAUAUUGCACAAUGGGGGAAACCCUGAUGCAGCGACGCCGCGUGAGCGAAGAAGUACCUCGGUAUGUAAAGCUCUAUCAGCAGGGAAGAAGAUGACGGUACCUGACCAAGAAGCUCCGGCUAAAUACGUGCCAGCAGCCGCGGUAAUACGUAGGGGGCAAGCGUUAUCCGGAUUUACUGGGUGUAAAGGGGGCGCAGACGGCAGCGCAAGCCAGGAGUGAAAGCCCGGGGCCCAACCCCGGGACUGCUCUUGGAACUGCGCGGCUGGAGUGCAGGAGGGGCAGGCGGAAUUCCUGGUGUAGCGGUGAAAUGCGUAGAUAUCAGGAGGAACACCGGUGGCGAAGGCGGCCUGCUGGACUGCGACUGACGUUGAGGCCCGAAAGCGUGGGGAGCAAACAGGAUUAGAUACCCUUGUAC